AGCAGGAGUGAAUGCAUGAGUUUGGCAUUUGAAACUAAUUCAUGCAUUCACUUCUGCUGA
rnacentral:pre_miRNA from 1 species